AUGUACCACUCGUACACUCCAAUUCCUCCGCGCCGUCCACACCCGCCUGCAGACUGCUCGCUACGUUUUGUCAGCC
rnacentral:sRNA from 1 species